AUUGAACGCUGGCGGCAGGCCUAACACAUGCAAGUCGAACGAGUGGCGGACGGGUGAGUAAUGUCUGGGAAACUACCUGAUGGCGGGGGAUAACUACUGGAAACGGUCGCUAAUACCGCAUACCAUCAGAUGUGCCCAGAUGGGAUUAGCUUGUAGGUGGGGUAACGGCUCACCAAGGAGACGAUCCCUAGCUGGUGUGAGAGGAUGACCAGACGAACUGGAACUGAGACACGGUCCAGACUCCAACGGUAGGCAGCAGUGGGGAAUAUUGCACAAUGGGCGCAAGCCUGAUGCAGCCAUGCCGCGUGUAUGAAGAAGGCCUUCGGGUUGUAAAGUACUUUCAGCGGGGAGGCGUUACCCGCAGAAGAAGCACCGGCUAACUCCGUGCCAGCAGCCGCGGUAAUUC
rnacentral:rRNA from 1 species